UUCAUAUAUUACCAGGACUCUUCUUUGUUUAAUACUUGUUUUCUUUGAGUAGUUUCAAAGUUUAACUAACUUCUUUUCUGCUUGAAUCGAUAGUGAUGGACGCGUCUAACAUAAAAAUAGGUCGUUGAUAAUGUAAGUACUUUCCAUAUUGUUUAAUUUUUUUGUGUUAGACUUUCUUAUGAUUAUUGAAUAUAUGUGGCCCUAUCUUGAUAAGGUUUAUCUGUUUCAUCAGCAGUAUCCAUUCUUAAGUCAUUCUAUCAACUUUUUUGUUGGUUAACUAUGUUAAUUCCACCGGUCACGCUGCCACAUAUUUUAUUUGCCCUUUCCUUUUUUAUUUCCCCCCUCUUUUUGUAGCUUCUCCAUUUCUUAUGCAUUUGUUUAUAAUUUUUUUUUGUUUUUUCUUGACACAGACAAUAUGCAAAACAACAAGAAAUAUUACCUAACCUAUAAAUGCAGAGCAAAUUCCCAAAUUUAAGAUCGAUUCUGUUGAAUUUGAAACACUCACACUAGGGUCCUUGCCGCCAACUUUUCAAGAUUGGCUCUACUGUUGGUGGUACUUAUUUUAGCUCAUGAAUUGGAGGUAGUAGAGGAUGCAGAAUGCAAGUUUAUUUGAAGCCAAGUUUCAUUCAAGGUCAUUGAGUUGGGUUGAUAGAAGUAAUGUUUUGUAUAUGACAAUAUUGAACAAAUAUGUAAAGUUUUCAAAAUGUUAAUACAUAUAUGGUAAAAUGUUAAUAUAUGUUAAAGUUUUGGAA